AAUCAACGCUGGCGGCGUGCCUCAGACAUGCAAGUCGAACGCGAAAGUUUCCUUCGGGAGGCGAGUAGAGUGGCGCACGGGUGAGUAACACGUAGGUAAUUUGCCUUUGGGUGGGGAAUACCAACCGGAAACGGUUGUUAAUACCGCAUAAUGCAGCGGCAUCAUAAGAUGACAGUUGUUAAAGCGGGGGAUUCGUAAGAACCUCGCGCCUAAAGAGGAGCCUGCGGCGGAUUAGGUAGNGGUGAGGUAAUGGCUCACCAAGCCUGCGAUCCGUAACCGACCUGAGAGGGUGGUCGGUCACACUGACACUGACAUACGGGUCAGACUCCUACGGGAGGCAGCAGUCGGGAAUUUUGGGCAAUGGGCGCAAGCCUGACCCAGCAACGCCGCGUGAAGGAUGAAGCAUUUCGGUGUGUAAACUUCGCAAGAACAGGAAGAAUAAGUGAAUACUAAUACCGUUCAUGAUGACGGUACUGUUU
rnacentral:rRNA from 1 species